UACUCCUGUGUUUCUUUUUUUUUUUUCUUUUUUGGUGAAAUAGAAGUGCAUUAAGUAAAUGAAGAUAGUUGGUUACAAUCCAGAGCUAGUCUAGUACAAAAACAUGAGAGGUAUGAUCAAAGUUUAUACUACUAGAUACAUGGCGUGAGAGAGUUUUUCCCUUGUAAUCUUCUUUACCUCUCAAGUUUACAAAACACCAGAGG
rnacentral:lncRNA from 1 species